CCGCUGCGGCGCUCCGCGCGGCCGCGAUGUGAGAGAAGAAGGAGGGCGGUGGCGGGGGUGAUGCGGCGGCCGCGGUGGGAGGCGCAGGGGCGGCGGCCAGCCGGGCGCUGCAGCAGUGCGGGCAGCUCCAGAACCUCAUCGGCAGCCUGCGCGGGCUGCGCACCAAGUGCGCUGUGUCCAACGACCUCACCCAGCAGGAGAUACGGACCCUGGA
rnacentral:lncRNA from 1 species